AUUGAACGCUGGCGGCAGGCCUAACACAUGCAAGUCGAACGAGUGGCGGACGGGUGAGUAAUGUAUGAGAAACUGCCUGAUGGAGGGGGAUAACUACUGGAAACGGUAGAUAAUACCGCAUACCAUCAGAUGUGCCCAGAUGGGAUGAGCUUGUUGGUGGGGUACAGGCUCACCAAGGCGACGAUCCCUAGCUGGUCUGAGAGGAUGACAAGCCACACUGGAGUUGAGACACGGCCCAGACUUCAACGGGGGGCAGCAGUGGGGAAUAGUGCACAAUGGGAGCAAGCCUGAUGCAGCCAUGCCGCGGGUAUGAAGAAGGCCUUCGGGUUGUAAAGUACUUUCAGCGGGGAGGCGUUACCCGCAGAAGAAGCACCGGGUAACGACGUGCCAGCAGCGGCGGUAAUUC
rnacentral:rRNA from 1 species